AGAGCGCGGUUUGCAUCUUUGCAGGCUGUAGGCGCAUGAUGUCACAAGUUAUUGGAAGAAAUCCCUCCAACCUAGGUUGGGACAGAUGAAGGCGGCGCUUAUUGGUGUUCACCAAAACACCAGCAUGGUGUACCAGCUUUGGCUAGAUGAUGCUCAGGAAAACACAGAUCCUGGUGCCGAACAUGAGGACAGGGCAGGCCGAAGGAGAAAGUGGAAGGAGGGGAGCUUCUCUCUCAGCCUCAUCCUUCUGGGCCUGGAUGCUGGAGAGUCAUGAGGUGCUUCAGAGUACUCUGGGUGAGGAGGGAAAGAUGGUGCCCACCACAUGGAGGCCAGCCUAGGUCUUGUAUGAAACCUGUGAGCUAGCUGAAAGCAGAGAACCCAGCAGAGGAUUCUGGGAAGGUCCUGGGGGAUGGCAGAGCCAGCAGAGAGAGGGUAUGGAUCCACCAGGCAUAGGAUGGAACAGAGCACUAUUGACCACAGUGAACUGGGGCAUGGGCAAUCAAUAAACACAUAUUAGAUUAAGCUAU
ensembl:lncRNA ZBED3-AS1 ZBED3 antisense RNA 1